UCGUCAGGUGGGAUCAUCUUUACCUGUUUCUCCUUUUGGAGGGCAGAUCAGAACAUGACGAUUGCAGAAGAAUGAAACGUGAUUAACAACUCUGUGUAAUCAGGCCUUGCAGCACCCUGACUGAGCCUUUCUGAU
rnacentral:snoRNA from 1 species